GAGGCAACACCUCCAGAACCCAUCCAUCGCACAACACCUCCAGCACCCAUCCAUCCACCGCAUUAUAUCCAUCACCUAUCCACGCACACAAGUCUCAGGUAUAGUCGCAAGACGACGCACGCAGGCAGAAAGCCAGAGAGCUCUCUCUCACGCAGUGCCGGUACACAGAAAAAGGAGGCCGGCGUACAGGGAUCUCUCGACAACUUCAACAUGGCCGCGAAGCUCACCUUCCCGAAGGGUAAAACUUUGAUCUAACAAAUCUCUUUCUUAGUUCUUUUCUUGGCGUAUAGGAUGCACACACACAAGUCGGGAGCGUUGCCGAAGGCAACGUUCGCAUGAUCGGUCCGCCGCCGGACCGGAAAAUAAAGUCAACGUUGCCGGGGAUGGUCUUCACCAAGCCAGCGUCACAAAGAAUGACGAGGAGGUCACCAUCACCACCUGUUGUCCACCUCGUCACGACGGUUCGACCAAGAUGACGUCACGGAGCACGCCACGACACCGCCCACCGUCGAUGUCGCCAGGUCGAUACCCCGGAGGUCGACGCCACGGUGGCCACCCCCACUCAUCACCGCUCGAUGAGGACGACGCGUCGCCGGAGCUCAUCUUCACCAAGCCCGCGCUAUGGAUGCUGACGCCACCGAGGUCGGUGUCACGGAGGUCGACGCCACGGUGGCCACCCCCACUCAUCACCGCUCGAUGAGGACGACGCGUCGCCGGAGCUCAUCUUCACCAAGCCUGCGCUAUGGACGCUGACGCCACCGAGGUCAUUGUCACGGUGGCCACCCCCACUUAUCACCGCUCAAAGAGGACGACGCGUCGCCGGAGCUCAUCGUCGCCAAGCCGGUGCCAUAGAGGUUGACACCGCCCCCAUCACUCGCGCCCACUUCGACACGAUGACAGCGUAGAGGACGAUGACGGGGAGCCCACAGAGAUACCGCCCAUCGUGAACAUCGUCAGGCCGACGCCUUGGAGGUCGAUGGCACAUAGGUCGCCAUCUCCGCUCUAUUGGGCCCAUCACCCACUUCGCCGCGCCGGAGACAUGCUACUCAAGGCGGAGAUCCGGAGUUUGGUGUCACGACCUUCCUCCUUCAUGAAGCCGGUGCCGUGAACGAAGGCAUGGAGCUUGCCACGACGAUGUCGCUAUCGACGUCGCCGAGCCAGUGCCAGGGAGGCUGACAUGGAGCUCUCCAUCACACCACUAGUUUCCACUUCGUCACGCCGGGUGCCGCGGAGUUCACUAUCACGCGGCCCAUCACCGCUAACUCCUGCACAUGCCCGCACUAUGCCGCCGGUGACCACGAGAUGGCUGCGCUGAAGACGGUGUCCGUUGCCGCCGACUCUGUGGCAUGGCGCGACGGUGCUACACUGAACAAGCUCAUGUACGGGCCAUCGGCCACGCAUGUGCCUAUGCAUGGCCAUGCACGUAUAUUCCUUCGGGUGGGAGAGCAUUGUGUGCACACCAAUCAUAUAAAUGAAAUAAAAAAAGCUACACGGACAGAA